rnacentral:rRNA from 1 species
UCGGGAAUUUUGUGCAAUGGGCGAAAGCCUGACACAGCAACGCCGCGUGAAGGAUGAAGUCCCUCGGGAUGUAAACUUCGUAAGAAUAGGAAGAAUAAAUGACGGUACUAUUUGUAAGGUCCGGCUAACUACGUGCCAGCAGCCGCGGUAAUACGUAGGGACCAAGCGUUGUUCGGAUUUACUGGGCGUAAAGGGUGCGUAGGCGGCAUAUCAAGUCACUUGUGAAAUCUCCGGGCUUAACUCGGAACUGCCAAGUGAUACUGAUGUGCUAGAGUGCAGAAAGGGCAACUGGAAUUCUUGGUGUAGCGGUGAAAUGCGUAGAUAUCAAGAGGAACACCUGAGGCGAAGGCGAGUUGCUAGGCUGACACUGACGCUGAGGUACGAAAGCUGGGGGAGCGAACGGGAUUAGAUACCCCCGUAGUCCCUGAGCGGGCUGGCAAGGCGCAU